UAGAAUUUUACUCAACAUCUACCAGAUGCCAGGGGUUCUAUAUAUCUAAUACUCUUAGAACUCAUAAUCAUCGGAAAAGCCUUGAAUAAUCAGAGAAGGUUUUGCAAAAGUGGUGUUUUCUGAGAUAAGCCAUGAAAGAUGAACAGGAGUUACCUGAGAUGAGACAUGGGAUGAAGCCCUGGGCAGGUGUUCCAAUAGAGGGAACAGAAUAGUCCCAAACGGAAAGGAAAAAUGAGACUCACUUGAGAAACUCAGUGCAGCUUGUCUAAAACCACAGGAAGCAGAGAAAGUGUGUAGCUUGGAAAUCUAGGGAGAAGUGGGGGUUGGGUAGGCUAAGGGAUACCAGAGAGUCAGAAUACAGCAUGAAGUCUGAACUUUUUUCUUUUUUUUCCAUUUAUUUAUUUUUUAUUAGAUAUUUUCUUUAUAUACAUCUCAAAUGCUAUCCCAAAAUUUCCCUAUACCCUCCCUCUGCCCUGCUCCCCUACCCAUCCACUUCUGCUUCUUGGCCCUGGCAUUCCCCUGUACUGGGGCAUAUAAAGUUUGCAAGACCAAGGGGUCUCUCUUCUCAGUGAUGGCCGACUAGGCCAUCUUCUGCUACAUAUGCAGCUAGAGAAACGAGCUCUGGGGGUACUGGUUAGUUCAUAUUGUUGUUCAACCUAUAGGGUUGCAGACCCCUUCAGCUCCUGUGUAAUAAUGUCUGGGUUUGGUGGCUGAUUAUGGGAUGGAUCCCCGGGUGGGGUAGUCUCUGGAUAGUCCAACCUUUCGUCUUAGCUCCAAACUUUGUCUUAGUAACUCCUUUCGUGGGUGUUUUGUUCCCUACUCUAAGGAGGAAUGAAGUAUCCACUCAUUGGUCUUCCCUCUUCUUGAUUUCUUGUGUUUUGCAAAUUGUAUCUUGGUUUGAACUUUUUUCUGAGAGCAAUUUAGAAAAGCAAGUUUUGGGCAUGUUUAGUUACAGUGUGGUAAAAAGUGGGUUAAAUGAGUAAAACAUUGGUAUAAAGACUAAGAAAAAGUGUAUAUUAGUUCCAAAUUUUGAGUAAUUAUCUACACUUCCCCAGCCAUUUAUUCAUUUAAUGAAUAUAUUGGCUAAAUGUUGAUCAAAUAUUUUUGUGUUAUUGUCAAUUAAGUGUUUCUUAUGGAGUCCUUGUUAUGUGUCAGGUACUGUAGAUAAACAGUGAUCUUCAUUUUUCUCUGAGACAGGACCUGGGCUAUAUCUGAGACAGAUAUAGCCCAUUCAGGCCUCAAACUCUCCACUCCUCUGCUUCCUGAGUUCUAGGAAUAAAGACACCCACCAGCAUGCCUUUUGAUAGGUGAGGGAACUAAAAUAAGCAGAACUCACGAGUGCUGACGUUACUAGUGAAGGGCCAAGACAGAAUUUGAUCUCAGGUCAGUUUGACAUCCUGACAGAUUUAGCCAUGUCAUUCAAAGAAACAUUUCACACUAAGUUAUGUUAACAUACUCUAAAAUUC
ensembl:antisense Gm42681 predicted gene 42681